UCGAGAAUAUUUGACAAUGGGCGAAAGCCUGAUCGAGCGACGCCGCGUGAUUGAUGAAGUCCUUCGGGACGUAAAGAUCUUUUAUGAGGGAGGAAGUCAUUGACGUUACCUCAUGAAUAAGGGGCUCCUAACUCUGUGCCAGCAGGAGCGGUAAUACAGAGGCCCCAAGCGUUACCCGGAAUUAUUGGGCGUAAAGGGUGCGUAGGCGGUCGUAUUAGUCUCUCGUUAAAACCUUGGGCUUAACCCAAGAUCUGCGAGGGAAACGGUACGACUGGAGGAUGUGAGAGGUGUGCGGAACUCUACAUGUAGGGGUGAAAUCCGUUGAUAUGUAGGGGAACACCAAAUGCGAAGGCAGCACACUGGCACAUUCCUGACGCUGAGGCACGAAAGCGUGGGUUUC
rnacentral:rRNA from 1 species